CCUACGGGAGGCAGCAGUGAGGAAUAUUGCACAAUGGGGGCAACCCUGAUGCAGCGAAGCCGCGUGAGCGAUGAAGUCUUUCGGGAUGUAAAGCUCUAUCAGCAGGGGAGAAAAGGGCGGUACCUGAAUAGGACGCCACGUCUAACUACGGGCAGGCAGCCGCGGUAAUACGUAGGGGGCAAGGGUUAUCCGGAUUUACGGGGUGUAAAGGGAGCGUAGACGGCUUGUCAAGACAGAUGUGAAAGGCUGGGGCUCAACCCCAGGACUGCAGUUGGAACUGUCAUGCUAGAGUGUAGGAGAGGCAGGCGGAAUUCGUGGUGUAGCGGUGAAAUGCGUAGAUAUUAGGAGGAACACCAGUGGCGAAGGCGGCCUGCUGGACGAUGACUGACGCUGAGGCUCGAAAGUGUGGGGAGCAAACAGGAUUAGAUACCCCUGUAGUC
rnacentral:rRNA from 1 species